GAUGAAGAACGUAGUGAAAUGCGAUAAGUAAUGUGAAUUGCAGAAUUCAGUGAAUCAUCGAAUCUUUGAACGCACCUUGCGCUCUUUGGUAUUCCGAAGAGCAUGCCUGUUUGAGUGUCAUGAAAAUAUCAACCUUGACUUGGGUUUUGUGCUCUAGUCUCGGCUUGGAAUUGGGUGCUUGCCGCUUUUACGAGCGGCUCACCUUAAAUGUAUUAGCUGGUUCUGUCUUUGAGACUUGGUUUGACUUGGCGUAAUAAGUAUUUCGCUAAGGACAUUCUUCGGAGUGGCCUCGUUUCUAGGACGCUUGUCCGCUUUCCAAUACAAGUUCCACCUCGUGGACAUGACUUUUUAUUAUCUGGCCUCAAAUCAGGUAGGACUACCCGCUGAACUUAAGCAUAUCAAUAAGCGGAGGA
rnacentral:misc_RNA from 1 species